AUUGAACGCUGGCGGCAGGCCUAACACAUGCAAGUCGAAUGGUAACAGGAAACAGCUUGCUGUUUCGCUGACGAGUGGCGGACGGGUGAGUAAUGUCUGGGAAACUGCCUGAUGGAGGGGGAUAACUACUGGAAACGGUAGCUAAUACCGCAUAACGUCGCAAGACCAAAGAGGGGGACCUUCGGGCCUCUUGCCAUCAGAUGUGCCCAGAUGGGAUUAGCUAGUAGGUGGGGUAACGGCUCACCUAGGCGACGAUCCCUAGCUGGUCUGAGAGGAUGACCAGCCACAAGGGAACGGGGACACGGGCCAAACUCCCACGGGAGGCAGCGGUGGGGAAUUUUGCACAAUGGGCGAAAGCCUGAGGCAGCCAGGCCGCGGGUAUGAAGAAGGCCUUCGGGUUGUAAAGUACCUUCAGCGGGGAGGAAGGGAGUAAAGUUAAUACCUUUGCCCAUUGACUUUACCCGCAAAAGAAGCACCGGCUAACCCCGU
rnacentral:rRNA from 1 species